UUUUGGGAUAGACAUGAAAAAUAAAUUAUAAAAUAGGGAUAUUUUUGACAUUAGCAAGUAAUUGACUUAAUUCAGAUUUCUCCAUUAAGUAAAAAGUCAAAAAAAUUAGCUUAUUUUAUUAAGUCAAAAUUAUAUAAAAAGUCUCAUUAAGUUAUAAAAACAAACACCUCUAAUUAACUUAAUUAAUUAAGUUAAGUCACUUUAAGUCAUUAAGUUAAAAAAUAAACGCCACCUUAAUCAUUAACUGGAUUAAGUGAAUUAAGUGGGAGAGAGAACGUGGCGAUCGGCUCAGAGGAGAGAGGAAACAGGUCGGGUCAACCCGUUCACGAAACCUGACUCGAUGCUUCCGAUGCCGGCCACAUCUCCGGAAAUGGAGGGUAUCAACCGAACUCCCAGACGACGCAGUCAUUCCCCCAUCAUCAUUGUUGCCGGAAAACGGCCUAUGACUACCCCACGAACCCGUGUUAAGUCAUGGAGGACGACGACUCAAAUCGGCGAGUUUUUACCGGAUUUCGGUCAUAUCGUCACCUGGGAUUUGUCCUUUAUGGCAGUCACUUCAAUUUCUGACCAUCAACAGUAGCCGAUUUGUCGCCGAUCAGCCAUUGAAGUUUCACGGCUGUCGAAACUCGAUCGGGCACCAUGGCUGCGCGUCGGAGCACACCGCUGCCACCUUUGGAUUCAGAGCGAGCUGAAGUUCCUGUUUUGACUUAUUUGAUCAUUGCCGCUCGAAUUCCGGUCAUCAUUAACCAGCUUAGAAAUUUUAAGGGUAAUUUGGUAAUUUAAAAUUUUGGGAUAUUUUAGUCACUCAUGAAUGAGGAUAUGAUGAUAUCUCAUGAGCGUUUUAUUAUUGGUUUUAGGCCGAUGGUGUAAGACACUUUUGUUACUUAAUCACAAUAAAAAAUAUGUAUCUAUUUUACGUGUUUCAAAAGUUUAUUUUGAUAUGUACGGGGUAUGGAUUUAUAUGGUCUGUCCAUGUAUUUAUGCAAUGUGUUGUUAUGUGUCAAAUAUGAUUUAUAUACAGACAUAUGUAUGUGUGAAAGUUUAUUGGUAUUAACAUGAAUAUGCACUAUGUUUUUUGGAAAAUAAGAAAGUGGAUUCGAGCAAAUUGAUUUUGAAGAAAGAAAGAAAGUUUUUCGAUUUUGCUUAGUUUCUUGAAUUCUUUACUCGCUCAGUGGACACUGUAGAUAUAAUGUUUAAGAGAUAAGUGGGUGGAGGAAGUUUACAUGAAAAUCAAAGUUAUUAAUGUUAAGUGAGAGUCCUAUUGAAUAGUAAUUGAAUUAAGGUAUUUUCAGUAUUUUCAUCACGUCCACGUUGCCAUGAGACACUGCCUCGUGGAGUGCUGUAUUCUUCUCGUUAUUCACCAUCCUAAUCAUCUGCCUGAAAGCUUCAAUCCGG
rnacentral:lncRNA from 1 species